rnacentral:lncRNA from 1 species
UACUUGAAAUGCAUUCUCCUCUUCGGUCUGAUUGAAAAAUUUUAAUGCUCUUCCAAGUUUAUUUUUCUAUCUUAUUAUAGAUUUAUUUGAAUAUUUUAAAUAAUCUAAAUUUAUGAUAAAUAUGUUCAUAGAUCCAAUACAUCAGUAUGUAUCAGAUUUAGAGCAUCAUUGGCUCAUUCACCUUUUCUAGCAAAAGGUGACUUGGUCAUCUUACUAAAG